CAACCCUCAAGCUCUGCUUGGCAUUGGGCGACGUCCGCCGUCGGACGCGCCUCGAAGACCUCGGCGACGGCGCCUCGGCCUCGAGCGUAGUAGUAACAUCUCGCUUUGGAGCGCCGGGCGACGGCCGCCGGACAAUCGACCUCGCGGUCUAUUACAUCCAAA
rnacentral:misc_RNA from 1 species